UAUAAAACUGUACAAAGCCAUG
rnacentral:miRNA from 1 species